UUUUUUUUUUUGUUUUUUUUGUGCCUGAUUUCACUCAGGCAUGCAGUUGAGCCUUUAAUGCUUAAUUUCUAUAGUUGUUGAGAAUAAAUUUGCAUAUUUAGUUACCUCUUAAAAUUUCAGAGGUAUAUCAUUCAUUUUUUCUAUUAAUUAAACGUAAAGUUGGUGAUUGAUCCUGUGUUUGUUUCUUGGACAAUGUUGAGGAAGUAUUAUUUUUUUUUUCUAUUCUUUUCCCGAUCUUGUUACAAUAUCUAGUUAUUUACUCUCCACAGUGCAUCAAUCUCAAAUUUUCUUACAAUUAAAAGGAAAUUCUUUUUCUUAAAAAUUAAACUCAUUAUCACCAAGAAGAAGCCUUUCAAUCAUUAAAAGUUUAAUAACAAUAGUAAUACUAGCAGUAGUAACGGUGAUAACAAUAAUCAGCCACUGGCUCCACAGUCAAUCAUGUGCCAAAUAGCAGCUGCAAUAGCCGCAUCAGCUGCCAAUAUUGCAAAUUGCACUUGUUUGAGGGCAGCAACAUUUUUGCAGCUAUUAUGUCAUCACUCAUAAUCUCCUCUGUUUAUUGUUAUCAUCGUUACAAAAGAGACACUAGCUAGAUGUACAGUGCUAUGCACAUGCAAGUGAGUGA
rnacentral:misc_RNA from 1 species